rnacentral:lncRNA from 1 species
GGGAUAUAUGGACGGGACUAACCAUUCCGGAACCCAUCUGUUAGCAACAGUGGGUGAUGAACAUCUACGGAUGCCUACGGUUAUUACUUAUACUAGGAGUACCUUUACAGGGACUAACCCUUCCUCCGCCCUGCUGCUGCUACAGAGGACAAUUGGACAAUCUUCGGAUGUUCAUUAGGUUAUAUAUGUUGUGUUAGCCCUAGUACCUCGGGAUAACAGUUACAUACGUCGUGUUAGCCCUAGUACCUCGGGAUAACACUUACAUUAGUAAUUUUUCCUGUUUACUUUAUUUUGUGAUACUUUCACAUAA